rnacentral:rRNA from 1 species
CGUGUAGGUGGAACUUUAAGUCGGUGGCGAAAUCCUGCAGCUCAACUGCAGAAUGGCCCUCGAUACUGAAGUUCUUGAGUACGGCAGAGGGAGAUGGAAUUCAUGGUGUAGCGGUGAAAUGUGUAGAUAUCAUGAAGAACACCGGUAGCGAAGGCGGUCUCCUGGUCCGUAACUGACACUGAGGCGCGAAAGCGUGGGGAGCAAACAGGAUUAGAUACCCUGGUAGUCCUAGCCCUAAACGAUCAGGACUGGGCGUGGGUCUCGUACGGGGCUCGUGCCGCAGCUAACGCGUUAAGUCCUGCGCCUGGGGAGUACGGUCGCAAGGCUGAA